rnacentral:rRNA from 1 species
UAAGGAAUAUUGGGCAAUGGUCGAAAGACUGACCCAGCCAUGCCGCGUGCAGGAUGAAGGCCCUAUGGGUUGUAAACUGCUUUUAGCCGGGAAUAAUUACCCGUUCUCUAACGGGCUUGAAGGUACCGGCUGAAUAAGCAUCGGCUAACUCCGUGCCAGCAGCCGCGGUAAUACGGAGGAUGCAAGCGUUAUCCGGAUUCACUGGGUUUAAAGGGUGCGCAGGCGGACAUUUAAGUCAGGGGUGAAAUCCUACAGCUUAACUGUAGAACUGCCCUUGAUACUGAAUGCCUAGAGUAAAGUUGAAGUGGGCGGAAUGUGUUGUGUAGCGGUGAAAUGCUUAGAUAUAACACAGAACACCAAUCGCGAAGGCAGCUCACUAAACUUUAACUGACGCUCAUGCACGAAAGCGUGGGGAGCAAACA